UACGUAGGGGGGCAAGCGUUGUCCGGAAUCAUUGGGCGUAAAGCGCGUGUAGGCGGUCCGGUAAGUCGGCUGUGAAAGUCCAGGGCUCAACCCUGGGAUGCCGGUCGAUACUGCCGGACUAGAGUUCGGAAGAGGCGAGUGGAAUUCCCCGGUGUAGCGGUGAAAUGCGCAGAUAUCGGGAGGAACACCAAUGGCGAAGGCAGCUCGCUGGGACGUUACUGACGCUGAGACGCGAAAGCGUGGGGGAGCAAACAGG
rnacentral:rRNA from 1 species